CGGAAACGGAUGCUAAUACCCCAUAGGUGGAUUGGUCGCAUGACGAAUUCAUUAAAGGUGGCUUUGCUACCACUCAUGGAUAGCCUCGCGGCGUAUUAGCUAGUUGGUAAGGUAAUGGCUUACCAAGGCAGUGAUACGUAGCCGACUUGAGAGGGUGAUCGGCCACACUGGGACUGAGACACGGCCCAG
rnacentral:rRNA from 1 species